GGAUUCCUACGGGAGGCAGCAGUGGGGAAUCUUGGACAAUGGGCGCAAGCCUGAUCCAGCCAUGCCGCGUGAGUGAUGAAGGCCUUAGGGUCGUAAAGCUCUUUCGCCAGGGAUGAUAAUGACAGUACCUGGUAAAGAAACCCCGGCUAACUCCGUGCCAGCAGCCGCGGUAAUAAU
rnacentral:rRNA from 1 species